rnacentral:piRNA from 1 species
UGCCUGACCUAAAGCUUUACUACGGAG